UGCUGGCGGGGCGGAGCCCUACGCGCUCGUGGCACCGGUCGGGCUGCGGGUGCCCCCACCAGGGACCUGGCCUCACUCACCAGCCACACGGAACUGCCAAAAUAAAAAACAGUUCAAACAACGUCCGAAUAGUUUUGACUGAGCACCUGAAAGCGUCCAUCUGGAGAGAGGAGAAAAGGAAGAAGAAAAUGAAGAAAAUAUAUAAAAAAAACCCAAGAUUGGACAAAAUGGUUGACUAAUAAUGCAAGUACUAGUCAGCGACAAAAGGUGAACAUCAAAAUAUGUAACAGCAAAUACAAUUACUUGAAGCUGAAGAUAAAGAUCCUGAGAUAUAGGUGGAAGAAGAAACCAAAGCUUGUUUAAAAACAAUUUGGACAGCAAUAGAGAUCAAGAAUCUUUGCAUCAUCAACAGGAAAAUACGAUACAAAAAUCAACCUGAUAUUACUCCAAAUUUUAAUUGCAGUGAUUCCACAUCCUGGCCCAACAUAACAUAAGAUGUUGGCUUGUUGAGCAUGGUCCUGAUCAAAGGAAAGAUGCUGAUUUUCAAAAUUCAGUGUCUGAAGAUGGACAGUUAAUAUAUUAAAAAACUCAGAAAU